rnacentral:lncRNA from 1 species
AAUUUCCUUUGCAAUGUAUGAAAUUAAGCUUUUCGUGCUGUUACAACCUUUGAAAUAAUCUGCUUCAGUGUGAGGGUAUCUGUGGUGUGCUACAUCCAUAAGUGAGUUCCAGCGAAGAAUUGAAGAUAAUACUUUGGUCAUAUUUAUGGGUUUUGCAUGAAAAUAUGUCAUAGUGAAGAAAAAAAGAAAGAUUUCUCAGGGGACAAAAUUUUGCUUAUUCAUACCUUCUACUGUGGCAAAAAUGGAUUCUUUUCCUCACCAAAAACCAGCAGCAUAACACCCAUCCAACACCUGCCUCAAGGAACUCUCAUUAUUUAA